AACCUCAACUAUCCAGCUGUGAAAAGAAUGAGAAAUGAGAAAUGAGAUGUUUACAUAUUGUUCUGAAACAAGCCUCCUCAUUUGUUGCAAGUUUUGAGAUUUGUUCCAUUUAACUUUGCUGCUUAGCCUAAAUUUGUCCAUAUAAUGACUCGAAAGGUUUUGAUAGUAUUUGAUAAGAAUGAUUGAGUGUUACUGAUAACUUUGCUGCUUAGCCUAAAUUUUUCCAUAAAACUUUG
rnacentral:lncRNA from 1 species